UCCACCUUCAGCAGAGCUUGCUGCCUUAGGCCAGGUGAACAGACCUGGCGUCUGCAAACUCGUGUUUCUUGAUGCGCCGGCGGGGCUGUAUUGGCAGUGCCGGGCUGCCCGUCUGCCGCAGCUCCCACGCUGCUGCUCAGGUGUCACCACCGAGGCCGGAGCUGGAUGGGAUCGUCUCUCCGAAGGCUGGUUGAGGACACUCGGCAGGUUGAAGCACUGGCUCUAGGGCUUGUCUCCCAGGUUUGCUCCCUUCUCUGGUAAGAUUCAUUUGUUGGCCCAGGACUGUCAAACAGACAUGAAGGGCAAGCAAAAUAUUUGAUUUCCACUCUCUGAGCUGGGAGCAACUUCCAGACCUACCCUUUAGCUUGUGGUUCAGGUUAAAAUAGGUUUCCAUCCAUAUCCUCUCUGAUCUGUCUCCAGUGAGUGCUCUUAAUCAGCAAGGGUGUUUUCUGUGCUGUUCGUAAAAGCGAUUGCACUGGGCCUGAAAAGAGAUAAACAAAUUCAGUCUUUACCAAAGUAUUCCUAGAAGCAUUCUGGGAGACAUGGCCAAGGGGGGUAUAAGUGCACACGUACACUCUUUAGACAUUUCAGAAGUCUAUGUUACUGUGAAAUGAUUUUAAUGUAGCCCAGAGCAUAAAAGCUGUUUGAAAGGUGUCAGCACUGUGCGUGGACUGGCUGGAACUGAGCAGGGGUUAUGGGCUGAAUGGGUGCCAGGGUGGACUUGCACAUUUAAUAGAUAAAAGCCUGUGUGUGAUAGCAGGAGAUUAUAAUGGUUUCCAUUUCUGCAGAUCACCACUCUUUAGAAACCAGGGCUUCUUGAUAGCUGUACCUAUUUUUGUAGCACUGUCAGACCUAUCUAUUCAACAGGUUCCCUUUCUAUAGUAUGUUCUACAAGUGCAGAAGAAAAAGGGGUCCCUAUCCCAAAAGCUGCUGUCAUCUAAGUAAGAGUGGAAGACAAGGGAGUGCAAAGAAAACCAUGUUGAUCAGUGUGAUGAGCAGCCACUGUCAAGCUCUUGAGGGCAUCACAGUGUUAAAAAGAGCAUCUGUAGCAGAACAAGGAGGCACCUUUGCAAGUACUUAUAGGGAGUUCUCCUAAGCAGGAGUUUACUGUCCAGAAAAUAUGCUUUCUUGAAAACUUAAUAGCGAGUAACAAAGACUGCUGUAGUGGCCCAGCCAUUAGAGCUGCUGCUUUUAAUAAAUGACAGUAUGUCAUGAAGGACAUUGAAAGCAAAGUCAAGCAACUUAUGCUUGAUGCUGAAGGGGAGGAGAUGUCAGAAGAGGCAUGCAAAAAGAGGAGUAUGUGUCAAAAUGCUGGUGAGGAAACUCUGCAGCAGGCUGCUGGCUUGCUGUGAGCAAAGCAAGUAAAGCUGGUCAUCUAACCAGGAUGUCAGAUGGUGAGAGUUCAGCCAAGAGGGAAAGGCUGUCACUUCAUGAUGCUAUGCUGAAAAAUUUCAAGAGAAUUAAGCCUCUUUUUGGGUGAGGGGAGUCAUAUACUGGGCAUUAGGAGACAUUGGAGAACAUGAUGGGUUGUGGAUGUGAGUGACUUACACAGUCAUGUUGUCAGUAAUGAAAGAGGAUGGGGAUAAAUGGAGGUGUGGUUAGGAAGGAGCUUUGUUUUAGCCAGGAAGAACUUGAAUUAAAAGCAGAUCUAAAUAAGAGAUCACAUUAGAGAAUGAUGCAGCGCUUUUUAUUUGUAUAGAAGAGAGAUCUGGAAUAGAACAGUGAACAGUACAGUUACCUCUGGUGGCAGUCACUGAGUUGGUGUGUGGAGAUUUUUUUGCUGGAAAUGAGAUGAAAGGAGAAAAGAGGUCCAGAACUGUGCAUGUUCAAGGUCUGGUGAGGAUAACUCCUUAGAGAGAACAUGCUAAAAGCAAUUGCUGGGAGAUGAGAGAGGGGUCGGGGGAUCACAGAGGCCAGAGAACAUGAUUUCUAGAAGAGUGUGGUCAACCAUGCUAAAAGUAAAUGAAGAAGGUUUAGAUGAAGUGUCUGACUGAAGUCUGGACAAGGUGAAGAUAGAAGAGACUUCAGCCAGAGAAGAUUCAGUAAGAUGUGAGAGAGAAACUGCUGUCUAUACUGUCUUGAUGUUCCUCUCCAACAAUGAGCUACAAGCGGGAGCAGUGGCUGGGAGGGCAAGAGGAGAGUCGCAGACUUUGCACUUUAAAGGAAGGAGCUGCUAAAGGAUGUUGGUGAGGGGAAAACUGGAGAAGAAUAAGAGCUUAAAUAAGGCUUAAGGUAAAUCAGAAUAAAAGUGGGUGAGGGAAAUUGUGAGAUGGCACUGAGAUGCUGUUGGAAGAAGGAACAAACUGGGGCACUAUUGCAGAAAUGAGGAAAACUAGCCAGCUUGUGUUUCUUGGGAGAAGCUGCUGAGAUCCUGUGCAUGGGAGAACAAGGGAGGCUGGAGGAGUCAGAAAUUGCAUCAGCCAGAGCUGCAGAUACACUUUUUCAAACUCAGCUGGAUCUUAGAGCUGCUUAGUUGGGAAGCUGAUGGGAAAGAGCAGUGGAAUGAAUGGAUCUGUGGUUGUGUUACUAGUUUCAGCAAACAAAAUGAGACGAGCAGUCAGCAGGUCGGACUUUGGGAAGGCAGUCUAGACUGGGCUGAAAUGAAGCUUGACAGAAAAUCGGCAAUUUUCAAAUAGAAGAAAGGACAGGGAGGAGAGGUUUGCAGAGGAGGAAAAGCCUCGUUGAAUUCUCCAGAUGAGGUGAUCAGAGGGGGGAUUUGUGCAAUGGAGAGGUGAGAGAGAGAAGUGCUAGCAACAUACCCAAUUAGCAGUUUUGGAGUGACUGAAAGAGUUGCACAAGGGCUGCAGAUCAGCUGCACAAAGAUGAGGAAAUGCAAGCGUAAGAAACUGGCUGGGCUGUCAAGAGGUCGCCAAGGACAGAUGUGGGAAUCGCAGAGGAGAAAGAGCUACAACUCAAGUGCCGAGCAGGAGGAUGGGAAGAGCCUGGGCAGACCAUGGAUGAAGCAAAUAAGAGGAGAGAAAUGAUUUGAAAGCAGCAGGGACAGGAGGGAGCCCUGACCUCUUCCACCAUGCCUGUCCCAGAGCAGUUCAGUGGAGGAAGGAUGCCCCAAAGAGCAAGGGAGCACCGGCGAGGUCCAGGGAGCUGCCAGCUGGACCGGGCUGUGGGCAGCUGGGUGAACAUGGAGCCAUGAAACAGCCAGGGGUCGGGGAGGGGAGAAAUCUAAAGUGGUGGCACCAGAAAGCAGGUAGAGGUGUGGACGGGGAUAUCUGGGUGGAGCGGGUGGUACGCUGGGAGGACGGGCCUGGAUCCAGGGUCGUCAAAGGGAAGGACAGAAGAGCAUGGUGGAAAAGGAUAGGCUUGGCAUGGAAAAUAGGAGAGGGCAAGAUAACGGGACAGAUGCUGCGAUGAACAAAGGGUGAGGUCAGAGCGACAGCUAAGUGGCAGACAGACAAAUGUACAAAAACAGAAAACAAGAGGCAGCUCCUGCCUGCGGUUUUUAGGUACAGCGUUUGGCUGACUGCAAUCACAAGUGAUUGAUUACAGAAUUAGACUUGUGCUAUUUUGGCCCUGUGACUUCAGAUGCUGUAAUCUAAGCCCACUGUGUGUUUAUCCUUGCAUUGCGGAUAACUGUUUAGGCACAGGGAUGAUUUUGGGGGAGACAUGUCAGAAAGCUUUUGCCCAAACUGCGUCUGUAAUCCUGCCACUCCUCUCAUCAAUCAUCAAGCUAAUAUAAAACUGGCAGCGUGCUUCCUGCUCGAGUGUUGUGCAUUUCCAAAGGCAAAGUGCACUAUUGUUUAAUAGCCAAUUAUUCACUGGCAUUGAUAAACAGGCUUUGCUCGCGAUUACUGCAGCAAUUACUCACUUGCCUAAUUUAGACAUGAGGAAAAAUUAAUUCAGGCUUCCAGUUGAUCAUUUAUAUCUCUGGCUGCUGUAAUACACAUAGCAGUGUACUGAAAACAGCUCCACCAUAAAGGAAACUGAUCUGCUCAAAUUGAUAACAGAUUUUACUGUGGCUCUGUCGCUGUGAGAGGCAUGACCGAGUCCGGGCUGAAGGCCUGUGGAUGAGGGGGGUUUGGGGGCUUUUCUUUUGUGCUUUUGGGGGCAUAAAAAUAUGAAAAUCCUUCUCUUAUACCUUAAAUUGAAAACAGCAGUUCAGAGGGGAGGAUGGUGCUGUGGUCAGAAGGCAGCUCAAUGUACAGCUAAACAAGCAAAUAAAAUAGUAGGAUGUUUAAGUAAAGCGACCUCACCUUCCCCCAGAUGACCCCUCAAGUGCUGAUGGACCUGUCUCCAAGCAGCAAAGUCCAAGGCAUUCAAGGAGGGCUCGUGGGGCGAUGCGGGAGGACCCUGGCUGUCCGGUUCAGAGGGAUGCUGCGGAGGAGGUAUAUAAAAUAGCUAACAGCUUUAGUAACGGUGAGUUGCAGGCAUCAUAUUUACUCUUUCUCGUGACUGGGGAGCAGUGAGAUGGAAAGGCAUCCGUGUGGAACUGGGACAAGGAAAAGCUGCUUUUCUUUUCUUUUUCUUAAUUAUUAUUAAAAUAACUCUGCAAACCGGCCUUCUGUUCCAAUGGACACACCUCUGUGGUAACUGUAAGCUCAAGUCCUCAGUACCCAAGAGAGAAGCACUGGUGCGUAACCCCUCCAGGUUUUCUCUCCCCCUUCCUGGUGUGGUUUCACUUUCCAGGGCUAUCUUGGAGCUUGCUGCUGGCAAGUGUUCAGCUGGUUUCAAAGAACAGCAGGAAGAGCAUUUCUUUAAAUUACGCCAGCGCGAGCCCGAUAGCGCAUUCCUCGUCAGCACGGCUCAUGCGCAAGGUAAAAUCGCCUCCGUAUCUGGCGAGGAGCGUGUGCGGGGCGACGGGGCCCGGCGCGGCGCGCUGAAGUGCCCCUUCGCCUCCAAAGCCGGCUCGGGUCACCUGCGGACGCUCGUCUCUCCUCUGAAUUCUCGUGUCUUCCCCGAGCUGCCUCGCUGCCGUGACCUUUCCCGGCGCAGGGCUUGCGUGACCAAGGUGCGUCCCUGCAGGCAGCUCUCGCCCGGAGGAGCGCCUUGCGCGGUGCCUGUGCCCUGGCGAGCCCGGAGCGGGGCUGCGGCAGCUCCCUGUGUUCAAAGCAGGCUUCGUGGGUGUAACUUGUAGGAAAACUGAAAACCAGCAAAAUCUGUCUCCUUUAGGACUCUGGCUGACAUCAUGGCAGCCAGGAGCAUCUAGCUGAGGUGGUGACAUGCCAAGGUGGGAGCGAAGAUGAUGCUGGUCCCUUACCAAACUUAAGUAUUAGUCAAGCGGGGGACAGACCAGGGCUGUUAGCUUGUCUAGAGCGAUGCUGGUUUCACCGGGCUGCACUAGCACUGGCGUGCCCGAGCCACACAGUGGGGCAGGACGGGCUCUCGGCGUGUGACAGCUGAAGGUUGGCCCUGGUGACAGCAGCAGGCACAGGGGCUCCACGGGAGCUCCUGCCUGCUAACCCCUGCCCGCAUGUCAUGGGCGUCUAAUGCAGCUAUGGGAAAUGUGCACUGGGUAGGUGGGAAACUCCACGGUACCCGGGGAUCCCCGGACUGGGGUGUUUUGCUCCAGGUGUGGUGGCAUCUCCCAGUGCUGACCGCUGCCCCGUAACGGGGCUGACCGCAGGAAAAGAACAAAACUAUCAUUUGGAGUUCAUCUUAUCUGGGAGUAUCAUGCACGCUCAGGAACUGUGUAAUUCGGUUGCCCUGCUUAGCCAAAAGCUAAAUAGUUUCUAAAGUUUAUUUCCUGUCUUUAUAGCAACUGUCUGUCUCUGUAUUUAUUUUCGCUGUGAGCUACUGGUGAGCUAAAAAUAAGUUUUGGGGCUAUUAUUGUUGCGGAUUGUACAACAAUCGUGGGCUGAAGCCGGGCCGGUUUGGGAGCGAAGAAUGUCCCCGGCCAGCCUCCCCGGACGGGCUGCCAUAAUUCUUGUGUUAUACUGAAGCACUUUGUCGCUCGCGGCAGAGAAGAGCUGACGUCUCGCAUUGUUGUUACCUUGAGAGGGCAGUUAUCGCAGCUAAUCCACCCUCCAAGGCUUUUCCUCAGGAUAAUUAUUGUUUCAGUGAUUCAUCUUGCAGACCCUGCCCUUCCUUAUUCGCACAAAAUAUCCUGCUCCCUGCAAUAUUUCUGGGUCAGGCUCGUGCCGCACAUGUGACUUCCCCCCGGGCCCACGGACAAGCAGCGAUGGAUUAAAGGUCAGCGGUCCCGGGCGGGCGCAUGCCGCGGGGCGCCAGGGGAUGCGGUCGGCGGGCGCGGGGCCGUGCUCGGUGGUGUCCCGCGGGGGGAGCGGUGCCGCUGUUGUUAUGCUGGAAAAUUUCACUGCUCCUGUCUUCAGUGGAAAACAUUAUCACCGGCACAUCCUGGCGUGUAACUUGCCUCAUUUAUUAUUGUCCCGCGCCGGCUUAGUGCUUAUGGUGCAGUUCUAAGGUACUUAGAGGGUUGUGGUUUUUCAAGGAAACAUAACUCGUGGGGGGGUUUUGGGGGAGAGGAAGAAUCCUGGAAGUUUUUGGCACAAAUGGAGUCAAAUUUUACUGAGCAUAAAAAAUGUAACGUGCACGGGUCUGCGUGACCUGGGGCCGGUGCGGCCACUCCUGGAGGCGGCUCGGGACUCCCCACCGGGCCGGGCCAGGCUGCUCUGCCCCAAGCCAUUUCCAGGCUGAGCCGUGGGCUGCUACCGCCGAGCCUGCUCGAUCGUCCUUCAGCCAGUCUGGAGUGCUGCGAAGGAAACCUAGGUCUUGAGUAAAUCCUGUCCGGGGGUGGGGAAAAUAAGGGAGAAAAGAGCAAGCUUCAGACCCGAUGUUGUGCUCACACUGCGAGGGUGCAGCGAAGGUGCCCGCGGCCACGUCUGCUCCAGCAGCCCCUCCGAGGGGCACACGGCUGUGUGCGCGCAGGUGCGGUGAGAAACCCCUCUUGCUGUAGCCAGCCUCUCCUUUGGCAUAGACUGGCCAGCCGAGCUGGAGCUUUUCCAGCACUGAAGAUCUCCGUGUAGACUCCUCGAGCAACUGAGAAGUCAUCGCCCUUCUGGGGCACUUGCUGGUGCGGUUCCCGGUCAGCGUGAAGCUGGGUCUGCGUUAGCUGGCUUCAGCAUGUGCCUUUUUCUGUGUCCUUUUAACCAAAUUCAUCUGGUGAGCUCCAAAGUGAUGCCCUGCCACGCACAGCCUUGCAUAUUAAGGCUCCAUUUGACUCUAUACUUCUAACUUUUCUUCCUUUCCUCCUAUGUUUUAAUUCUUUGUGGGUUUUGUGUGUUCUUGGGGGGGGGGGGGGGGUUUGGUUUUCUUGUUUAAGUUGGCAAUGUAUUUCAGUGUUGCAGUAUGAGCAUGCUCAUGCUGUAGAACACUUCCUGUGAACCUCUGGAUCCAGGUGGAGCAGGAUCGCUGUCUUCAAACACGGGUGUAUAGCUUUCGGUAUCAAGAAAUGACAGCCAGCACACCCAGUGUUGACACACAAACUGAAAACCGGCAUGAGCACCAGCCAAAACAAACUGGUCACGCGCUCCACAGCAAGCCCUGGAGGGCUGUCCUACAGCAAGCGCCGGCCGGGAAAUCGGGGCAGUUAUGGAGCAACACUGCAGAGAGCAGUUCCUGGUGGAAGCAAGUGCUUCUUUCAGCAAACACAGUGUUGACAGCAGUUUCUCUUGGUUGCACAGUGGCUGAAAUGAGACCAUCCACACUGUGCAGAAGAAUGUGUAAAGAUUGUUGGGCCUUUUGCAGUAUCUCCAACUUGACUUCAGGAAGACAAACACAAUAUAAAUGUUGUUCCCACUGCUCCCAGUUUGAACAUCAAAUGGCAUCAGGCUGGCUAUCAGCUAAUUACCCAUGUAUGCCAAUGAGGGGGCAUAAUGGAAAAAGUUUGCAUGGCAGAUAUGUCAGAUGAUGAACGUGUUUGGUGCUGGACAGUUAAGGCCUGUUGCUUGCACUGCAUCUGGUGAUGGUAGCAUUACAGCCUGGAACAAGCAGCUAUUGGCAGGAGGAGCCAUUUACAUACAAAUGAUUCCAAGGCUGAAUCAGGUUUCACAUGUGACAGCACUUCAGGAUACUAGCAUUAAUAUAUUACUCUCUUCACCUAGCAAUUUAUGGCUAGUUGCUGGGAAGGCUGAGAACACAGGUGCAUCUCCAAAGGAUUCUUUGUGUUGUCACCUCAUCCUUGGACCUCUGACUACACAUAUGGGAAAAAAGCAAAAUCCUGUGCUUUGCUGAGCAGAUGCCAUUUACUUGUGGACCCUACAGAUGGUCAAGUGUGAUCCUAAAAGAGACAAGUGCUUUAUUCUCCCAGCUGAUUUUGUCCACUUUGCACAGAACGCAACUGAAGCUGAAGUAUCAGAACAAACUUAAGUAUCAAGAAACCAUGGCUUGGAAGAAAUUAGAAGUCAAUACUGCCUGCUCAUGCACUGAAUGAAGCACAUCUCCUGUGGAAAAGCAAAGUAUGUGAUCAUAAUUAAUAAUUUUUAAUAUGAAGAAAGGACCAAACUAAGGUGAAUUCUAGCAUGUUCCUGUAUGUGAACUUGACUUCACAACCUUACUAUUAAGCCAGCUCCAUAUAAUCGAUGCAUUAUCAUUGAUUACUUCUGGAAGUAGGACUUCAGAUGAAUGAUGCAUAUUCUAAACUUAAUCCUUCCUAAGCUAUUCAAAAUUAUUUCAGUAGUUUAUAAGUUAAAGCUUGAUUCUCGCUAUAUCUAUUAUGAGCAACUUUUCUCCAAUGAGAUAUGCACAUUAUUUUUAGAAAUAGUUUAGUAUUUGAUAUAGACAAAAAACAGAUCUGUAUUAGUGUCCAAAUUAGUGCAUAAUCAAGGUGUUCAAGAACAGAAACCAGGAUGUCUAUUACCUACCACUGCAUCACUACAGAACAGCAAUAUACCUACAUAAUUUCAUUUGACAAAGAUUUAAAAAAAAUACUCUGGAAUUUUUUAACCUUUCAUAAAUACUUGAAGUGUAUGUACACACAUACACAUAUAGAUACAAAACUUUGGAGGUACAGACUGUUGAAAACGUAGUGCUAAACCUAGUUAGUGUUCAGCAUUCAAACCCUAAACUUAUCCCUUGCAGACAUGUUAGUUCUGAAUCCUGUUAAUUGAGGUAUACCACAUAACAGAAGGAACUGAUUUUCUAAUUUCUGGUUUAGCAUACAGUAUCAAUGCUGGCAAAAAACCCUAGCAUUAGAUAACACACUGUAGUGAGAAAAAUGACUACACUAAAAUGCUGUCCAAUUCUCACAAAGUCUUUUGAGUAUAGGUUUCCAUUAGUUCACUGGCAGUAUAAAUGUAUAUAUAAGCCUAUUGCUGUUUAGCUACAAUUUCAAAUGCCCCAAAGAUCUCAAUGCCUUUCUCAAAGGAAAUCCUCAUUUUGGUCACGUGUCCCUGCUUGAAAUGUACAUUUAACCCCUAGCUCUGUGUCUCUCAGGACAUGCUACUAGUAAGUGGGAUAUGCUGUUUUAUUCCUACAAAGGAGUUGAAUCUUUCAGAAUGUAGAUGACUGAGAAAAGUGGAAGAAACAUGGGAUUUUUUUUUGAAGAUGAACAGUUACUGAUAACAUUUAAAUUUACCAAAACGUUUACCAAAUUUGUGUUCUUCCAUAGAACAGCAGCUGAUUAUGAAAGCCAUCCUACCUAUUAGCAGAACAUGUUAUGCUGACAACUUCUUAUGCAUGAAGCUUGCAUAUCUGUAUAAUUAGUAUUUAUAUAAAUUCAGCAAAUUAUUAAGUUAGUGUUCAUAAAAAAGCAAUGUUUUCAAGAGUGUUGUUGUUAAUUGGCAACAUAAUUAAACUUCUAUUGCCUGUAAUAAAUACUGGAAGCCUUUUCAUAUUUUGCAAAUAAAAUAUUUCCACUAGUAACACUAGAGGAAAACAAAGAAGGCUAUCAGAGGUAAAGUGAAAAUAAAGAUAUUGCUUUUUAUUAGUGGUAAAAAAAUAAAGUAACUUGAUGUUUUGUCAAUGCUUCUUUUUGCAAAUUCUCUUAUAUUACUAUGCAAUAUAAGUUCCUAACACAACCCAUAUAAAUUGAGGCUGCAUUUUUAAGUUAGAGUAUCACCACUGGAAAAGAAAUACCUUCAAGAAUUUUACAAAAAUAGAAAAUAUAAUAUGGCUAUUAAGUCCCUCUUCAAGAAGAUAAAGUAUUAUUAAAUCUAUUACUAUUAAAAGUUGACUACACUGACAAAACUGCAGCAAGUUUGGAACAACAACUGUAAAUAAUUCCUUGGGUAAGUUUAGACUAUUUAGCAACUGAGUGUUGCUGUACAUGGAACAAAUCAAAUUUGACCAUAGGAGCUUUAUUAGUAAACAACUGUUUCAGUGAAGCACUCCAGCAGUUCUCCACUAUGGAAACAGAAAGAGGGUGACCUAUUUAUGAAAUACUGUUUUUACACUAAUUAUGGUAAUUUAAAGAAAUUUUACUGUUUCUGAAAGAAGAGAUUCAAUUUCUCAACAAUUCUCAGCCAUAAAUUAAAUUUGAUCCAAUAUUACAAUUAAGCAUCACUCUGCAGGACUUCUAUGUACCUUUCUAACUGAAGCAUCUUUUCCAUGCCAGUUCAUUUAAGACUUAGGUCACUGUGAGAAAAUCAUCUUACUGAAAUAGUACUGUUAAGAAAGAGUGGCAUAAAACAUGCAGAAAAGGCAAAUUUGCAAGUGAGGACUAUUAUUAACCUUGAACAUUGGGUUGAGUUUUUACUCCUAGAAGCAGCAAGUCUUAAAUGUAAUGUGACUGAACAAUCUUCCUGUAAAACUCUGCUGUGCCAGACAGAGAACCACCAUACACAUGCUAAUAUAUAUAUAUAUAUAUAUCAAUAAUGGACUUGAAGCUGUGCUAACCAUAAUGCAAUGUAAUGUCAGUGUUUAGAGUUAUGAUCAGUACAGCAUAUACUGAC